GUGCUCACUUCAGCAGUACAUAUAGUAAAAUUAGAACAAUACAGAGAAGAUUAGCAUGGCUCCUCACAAAGAUGACAGGCAAAUUCAUGAAGCAUCCCGUAUUUUU